UUAAACACAAUAAAGAGGAAAGUAAAACUUACACUGCUUAUACAGAGAGUCUUUAAUAGCUGAGAGAAGAUUUUGAAAGAAAGUUUGAAAAUGGCCUUGGAGUGUUGAUACCAAUAUGAGGUAUCUACGGGUUCGCCCGUUAUAGCGAUACAGUAUUAACAUUUAUGUUAAAAUGGCGUACUGGAAUUUUACGUCACAAUAAUAUCGUUAAUACUCAUUUAAACGUAAAUUAAAUGAGUUUAUUAAUGUAAUUGUGCCUACCUUUCAGUCACGAUUAAUGUAUAUGGCGUACUGAAUGAGGUUAUUUUAGUGAUAAAGUAACAAAUAAAGGUGGUACCACGAAACCUAAGCUUUCGUCCUUUGC
rnacentral:ncRNA from 1 species